rnacentral:rRNA from 1 species
UACGAAGGUGGCAAGCGUUGUUCGGAUUUACUGGGCGUACAGGGAGCGUAGGCGGUUGGAUAAGCCCUCCGUGAAAUCUCCAGGCUUAACCUGGAAAGUGCAGAGGGGACUGUUCAGCUAGAGGAUGGGAGAGGAGCGCGGAAUUCCAGGUGUAGCGGUGAAAUGCGUAGAUAUCUGGAGGAACACCGGUGGCGAAGGCGGCGUUCUGGACUGCAACUGACACUGAGGAACGAAAGCCGGGGAGCAAACGGG